AGAGUUUGAUCAUGGCUCAGGAUGAACGCUGGCGGCGUGCCUAACACAUGCAAGUCGAAUGAAGCUUGACGGAUGAUUUCUUCGGAAUGAAACCAGAUAUGACUUAGUGGCGGACGGGUGAGUAACACGUGAGCAACCUGCCUUUCAGAGUGGGAUAACGGCUGGAAACGGUCGCUAAUACCGCAUGAUGUGUUCGGAUAGCAUCAUCUGAACAUC
rnacentral:rRNA from 1 species